CAUGUCAGUCGUGUCCUAUUAGCCCUCCUGUGCUUAGCUUUGAUCUUCUCCCAAGACCCACUGUGGAACUCUCCGGCCCCCAAAGAUCCAGCACACUAGAGACCUACCCCCAUGGACUUGCCCCCAGAAGACCUACCCUAACCUAGGAACUACUGCCAACAGACCUACCCCAGCCCAGGAAAACCUACCCCAGAAGACCUACCCCAGCCCAGGCACUACACUGUCACGUCUAAUCUGAGAGGAAAGCUGAAGACUUGGGAGUGAGAGCCCCAUCAAACUUGGAAACGCAAGACUUCUACAGAAGACGGCUCUCGGCUUCCAGAAAGAGUUUUCGUUCG